GAAAGACUGUUUUGUUUGUUCGGAGAUUCGCGAUUGUUCUGCUGUGGCUGUGCUUAGAACUAUUUUUGUUAUGGAAAUGAAGCAAAAACUAUCCACAAUGUCUCUAAAAUAUAGCUCAGUGUCAGACUGAGAAAAAGUCAAUAAAGGAGAAGAAAGCGUACAGUCCUAUAGCUGUCACAGAAUCUCUGGAAUUAUUUGGAAUGGACCUUAUUGAGACUGAAAAUGGCUACCAAUACAUGUGUGUUAUGGUGGACUAUUUUACCAAGUGUUCUGAAGCCUAUCCUCUCAAAACCAAAAAUGCAGAAGAGGUCAGGACAUUGUUAAUUUUUUUUUUCUUUUUUUUUUUUUUUACAAAUUAGAUUAGGGGAGAGAGAUUGUAAACAAGGUUAAUUUAACACAAAUAAAUACAUGUAUUGAU